CGUAAUAAUAGAAACUAACCAGGAUUCCCUUAGUAACGGCGAGUGAACUGGGAUACCCAAUACACCAUCUGUGCGUACCUCGGUGCGUACAAAUUUUAGCCCGUCGAUACUAUCCUAGCAUAGUACUGGCUUCGGCCGGUAACCUAUCUAUGCGGGAAUUGUAGCAUCGUACAAAACUAUAUUAUACAACGUAUAUAUACGCAACCCACACUUAUAUAUUUUUAUGCGUACACUUACUUUCAUAAACACACAGCGCUCUCGCGUUGGAAAGCAAGUUUAUAUCUUUUUUUGGAUACGCCAUAGAGUGUGACAGCCACGUUUCAACUCUACGUACGCUACGUAUACACAUGCGUUAUAUACAUACACUGUAUUUUAUAUAUAACCUGAGUCGAGUUAUUU
rnacentral:rRNA from 1 species